rnacentral:rRNA from 1 species
UUGGGUUGGGGGGCAGAGCUUUAUUGCAAAACCCUUUUUCCCCUUUUGCCUUUGCUGUCUACUCAAUUUAUACACACUCUAAUUAAUUUUAAAACGAAUGUAAUUGAUGUAACGCAUCUAAUACUAAGUUUCAACAACGGAUCUCUUGGCUCUCGCAUCGAUGAAGAACGCAGCGAAAUGCGAUAAGUAAUGUGAAUUGCAGAAUUCAGUGAAUCAUCGAAUCUUUGAACGCACCUUGCGCUCCUUGGUAUUCCUUGGAGCAUGCCUGUUUGAGUAUCAUGAAAUCUUCAAAGCAAACCUUUUGUUAAUUCAAUCGGUCUCUUGCUUUGGUAUUGGAGGUCUUUGCAGCUUCACACCUGCUCCUCUUUGUUCAUUAGCUGGAUCUCAGUGUUAUGCUUGGUUCCACUCGGCGUGAUAAGUUAUCUAUCGCUGAGGACACCGUAAAAAAGUGGCCAAGGUAAAUGCAGACGAACCGCUUCUAAUAGUCCAUUGACUUGGACAAUUAAAUUUUUAAUCGAUCUCAAAUCAGGUAGGACUACCCGCAACU